AGAGUUUGAUUCUGGCUCAGGACGAACGCUGGCGGCGUGUCUAACACAUGCAAGUCGAACGGGGUACCCGGAAGCGAGGCUUCGGCCAAGCGGAAGGACUACCUAGUGGCGGACGGGUGAGUAACGCGUGAGCAACCUGCCUUUCAGAGGGGGAUAACGGCUGGAAACGGCCGCUAAUACCGCAUAACGCAUGAAGGGGGCAUCCCUUUUGUGCCAAAGAUUUAUCGCUGAAAGAUGGGCUCGCGUCUGAUUAGCUAGUUGGUGAGGUAACGGCCCACCAAGGCGACGAUCAGUAGCCGGACUGAGAGGUUGAACGGCCACAUUGGGACUGAGAUACGGCCCAG
rnacentral:rRNA from 1 species